UCGAUUUUGACAACGUGCAAGUGCCGUCUAUCUCAUUCUCAGAGCGGUGAGUUGAUGACUGUGAUACUGAUCAAUUCGGAGUGGUUGAUGAUUGAUAAUACCGUAAUACUACCUCGGAGGACAAUCAUGGCAGCCCUUCAACCGAGUCACUUUAACGAUGUCACUGUUGUCUUGCUGCUACUUCUGUGCACCAUCAUCACACCCUUCUCUUCCAUUUCAGCUCAACAGCAUGUGAAAGACCCUUCAAUCACAUCAACCAUGGAGCAAUUCUCCGGUUAUGCAAUCCAUGAGCCUCACUCUUCCCUCUCUUCACUCUUAGUUGAUGCUCAGGGUCUCCAGAACCAGAUUGAUGAGCUCUCAACAUUUUCUGAUUCACCUGCUCCAUCAGUAACAAGGGUCUUGUAUACUGACAAGGAUGUCUUGGCCCGCAGGUAUGUAAAGAACUUGAUGGGACUUGCUGGUCUAUCUGUCAGAGAGGACACUGUCGGUAACAUUUUUGGUCGAUGGGAUGGUAAUGAACCAGAGCUUGCUGCAGUUGCAACAGGUUCACACAUUGAUGCUAUACCUUACUCUGGAAAAUAUGAUGGAGUUGUUGGUGUUUUAGGCGCUAUUGAAGCCAUCAAUGUGCUUAAAAGGUCUGGCUUUAAACCUAAGAGACCACUGGAAAUCAUAUUGUUCACAUCGGAAGAACCAACGCGCUUUGGAAUAGGUUGCUUGGGAAGCCGCUUGUUAUCUGGAAGUGAGAGUCUUGCCAAUGCUCUAAGUAAAGCAACUGAUAGUCAAAACAUAUCCUUCUUAGAUGCUGCAAGAUCAGCUGGUUAUGCGAAAGAUGUCGAUGACUUAUCCAGUGUAUUUCUAAAGAAAGGGACAUAUUCUGCUUUUGUAGAAUUACACAUAGAACAAGGGCCUAUUCUAGAAGCGGAAGGUAUCUCUAUAGGUAUAGUUACUGCAAUUGCAGCUCCAGCGAGUCUUAAGGUUGACUUUGAAGGCAAUGGCGGCCAUGCCGGUGCUGUCCUUAUGCCUAACAGAAAUGAUGCUGGAUUGGCUGCUGCUGAAUUAGCCCUGGCUGUUGAGAAACAUGUGUUGGAAUCUGGGUCUAUUGAUACAGUUGGCACUGUUGGUAUCUUGGAACUGCACCCUGGAGCCAUCAACAGCAUCCCUAGCAAAGCACACAUCGAAAUUGGUGUGUAUUAUGUGACACAUUUUCCAAUGCAUGGCCUUCUUUAUUUGAUUUUAUUGACACGAGAGACAUUGAUGAGGAACGAAGAAACAAUGUGGUUGAGAAAAUUCACCAAUCAGCGAUUAGAAUAACCGAAACUCGUGGUGUCAAGCUUUCUGAGUUUAGUAUCAUCAAUCAGGAUCCACCAGCCCUUUCUUCUGAGGCAGUCAUCAAGGCAAUGGAAACUGCGACGAGAGAGCUAAACUUGACGAGCAAGUUGAUGAUUAGUAGAGCCUAUCACGAUUCAUUGUUUAUGGCUAGGGUAUCCCCAAUGGGCAUGAUUUUCAUUCCAUGUUACAAAGGAUACAGCCAUAAGCCUGAAGAGUUUGCAAGCAUUCAAGAUAUGUCAAAUGGAGUAAAAGUAUUAGCACUCACACUUGCUAAAUUGUCCCUUGAGUAAUAUCUUCUGUAGUGAUAUUUAGUAUGUACUCACCAUUGUAGAGCAAGGAUAUGUAAUUUAAUAAUACUGAUUAAAUAAUGUUAAAUUUAGAUGUACCCCAUUACAGUGGUUGAACUUAAUCCAUCUAAUAUGACCAGUGAGCAUUAAAGAAACACUUUUCGUAG